UGGAAGUAUCACAUGGCCAGGGCGAUCCUCA
rnacentral:piRNA from 1 species